rnacentral:rRNA from 1 species
UACGUAGGGUGCGAGCGUUAAUCGGAAUUACUGGGCGUAAAGCGCACGUAGGCGGAUUUUUUAGUCAGGGGUGAAAUCCCGGGGCUCAACCUCGGAACUGCCUUUGAUACUGCAAGUCUCGAGUCCGGAAGAGGUGAGUGGAAUUCCUAGUGUAGAGGUGAAAUUCGUAGAUAUUAGGAAGAACACCAAUGGCGAAGGCAGCUCUCUGGGACGGUACUGACGCUGAGACGCGAAAGCGUGGGGAGCGAACAGG